GCCCUUUGCCUAGGACUGUGGAUUCUGC
rnacentral:piRNA from 1 species